UCUUAUGGAUGAGCAACAAAAGUGUUUCCUUGAGAUGGAAUUUACUCCUGCUGGAGAUGCUGAGAA
rnacentral:pre_miRNA from 1 species